GGUAGUAUGGCUGAGAUAGCGGUAGGCUGUAAACCUACACACAGGAUAUAACCUUACUGCCA
rnacentral:tRNA from 1 species